rnacentral:rRNA from 1 species
CACGUAGGGCGCAAGCGUUGUCCGGAAUUACUGGGCGUAAAGAGCUCGUAGGUGGUUUGUCGCGUUGUUCGUGAAAACCGGGGGCUUAACUCUCGGCGUGCGGGCGAUACGGGCAGACUGGAGUACUGCAGGGGAGACUGGAAUUCCUGGUGUAGCGGUGGAAUGCGCAGAGUAUCAGGAGGAACACCGGUGGCGAAGGCGGAUCUCUGGGCCUUACCUGACGCUGAGGCGCGAAAGCGUGGGGAGCAAACAGG